CCGUGCUAGGCGGGGAGAUAGCGGUGCCCUGUACCCGCAAUCCGCUCUAGCGGGGCUGAAUUCCCGUCCGAGGGGCGAGGUCUUCGGGGUCAGUACGCCGGUUGGAGGCGUCGAUGGCCGGGUCCCGCGCGGUGGGCGACUGCGAACCAGGUCAGAUCCGGAAGGAAGCAGCCUUAAGCGGACCCGCUCAUGCGCCGCGGAUCAGCCUGGCCGGAGCCAAAGAGCGGCGGGCACGCCCGAAGGGCCGUUUCGACGACGGGUGCACGG
rnacentral:SRP_RNA from 1 species